GGAUUUUGUUAACCAUUAUAAACUUCAAACAGGAGAUUUCAUAACCCUUUACAAGGACGAGUUGAAAAAUCUGUAUGUGUCGGCUCGAAAGGAUCAAGAAAAUCUAGAAGAAUCUAAGUCCUCGUCAAACACAGGAAUGUCACAUGAACCAGAUGCAUAUUUAGCUUACUUGACGAAGGAACUUAGCCAUAAGGGUAAAGCAGAAGCUGCCAACAACCUUUUGAACAAUGUUGAGGAAGAGGCACCAAAUCAAGCAAAUCAAUUACAUCAAUUCAUGCCGAUGAACAAUAUUGUUGGGGAGGGGGCAUCAAACCAAGCAAUUCAAGAAGCCGCACCAGCCGCACCCGUCAAUGUUGAUCAAGAAAACAAAGUUGUUGACGAUGAUGAUGAUGAUAUCUAUGGUGGCCUUGACAAUAUUUUCGAAAUUGGAAAUACUUAUCAAAUUUGGUAGUCAGACUAAAUAUGAAAUGUUUAAGAUUUAUGUUGGAUAUGUUCUCUGGCAUGUAAACUUGUACCCAUGCAUGUCUUGUCCUGCUUAAUUAUGUUCAAUGGUCUUUUGGGAUGGUGGAGAGAAAAUGAGAGGGGAAACAAAUAUGACAUUUGAAUUGAAAGAAAAGUAUUAAAAAAUUUCAAUUUUUCUUUUCAA